GCUCCCUGAUGUUAGCGGCGGACGGGUGAGUAACACGUGGGUAACCUGCCUGUAAGACUGGGAUAACUCCGGGAAACCGGGGCUAAUACCGGAUGGUUGUUUGAACCGCAUGGUUCAAACAUAAAAGGUGGCUUCGGCUACCACUUACAGAUGGACCCGCGGCGCAUUAGCUAGUUGGUGAGGUAAUGGCUCACCAAGGCAACGAUGCGUAGCCGACCUGAGAGGGUGAUCGGCCACACUGGGACUGAGACACGGCCCAGACUCCUACGGGAGGCAGCAGUAGGGAAUCUUCCGCAAUGGACGAAAGUCUGACGGAGCAACGCCGCGUGAGUGAUGAAGGUUUUCGGAUCGUAAAGCUCUGUUGUUAGGGAAGAACAAGUACCGUUCGAAUAGGGCGGUACCUUGACGGUACCUAACCAGAAAGCCACGGCUAACUACGUGCCAGCAGCCGCGGUAAUACGUAGGUGGCAAGCGUUGUCCGGAAUUAUUGGGCGUAAAGGGCUCGCAGGCGGUUUCUUAAGUCUGAUGUGAAAGCCCCCGGCUCAACCGGGGAGGGUCAUUGGAAACUGGGGAACUUGAGUGCAGAAGAGGAGAGUGGAAUUCCACGUGUAGCGGUGAAAUGCGUAGAGAUGUGGAGGAACACCAGUGGCGAAGGCGACUCUCUGGUCUGUAACUGACGCUGAGGAGCGAAAGCGUGGGGAGCGAACAGGAUUAGAUACCCNNGGGUAGUCCACGNCCGUAAACGAUGAGUGCUAAGUGUUAGGGGGGUUUCCGCCCCUUAGUGCUGCAGCUAACGCAUUAAGCACUCCGCCUGGGGAGUACGGUCGCAAGACUGAAACUNAAAGGAANUUGACGGGGCCCGCACAAGCGGNGGAGCAUGUGGUUUAAUUNCGAAGCAAC
rnacentral:rRNA from 1 species